rnacentral:rRNA from 1 species
GCGCCCUCUGCAGGCCCCCCACCAGGGAAUUGCCCGGCGCGGAAAACACUCGUUCGGCCUACGGGUCGGGGGUGGGGGACCAGCGGGACGUCGCGCCCUUUUCCCUCGGGAAAGGAAGUGCACCGGUCGGCCACCCCCUGUCCAACCCACAACCCAAACCACAAAACAACUGAAGCCAAAGCGGGUCUGCUCGAAAGGGCGCCGCACCAAACAAAAGACAACUCUCAACAACGGAUAUCUUGGCUCCCGCAUCGAUGAAGAAGGCAGCGAAAUGCGAUACGUAGUGUGAAUUGCAGAAUUCCGUGAAUCAUCGAAUCUUUGAACGCAUAUUGCGCUCGAGACUUCGGUCGGGAGCAUGUCUGUCUCAGCGUCGGCUCACCCCUCGUCCCUCCCCUUUCAUUGCAAAGGAGAACGGGCGGACGUGGCCGUCUCGCUGCUGUUAAUUUUUAAUUAAUCGGCGGCGGGUCGGCUGAAGUGCAGGGCUCGCGGCGCGACUCUCUCAAAAGAGCGCCAGCAUGGUAGGUGGCUUCACGCUGCAUGCCGCUGUCGUUCGACUGCAGAGGGCUCCAAUGCCGCUCGGCCAUAAGCAGGAAUUUUUUCUGACGCUUUCGGGCAAAAGAAAAUUCAAACCUUCGACCUGAGAUCAGACAAGACCACCCGCUGAACUUAAGCAUAUCAAUAAGCGGAGGA